GGGUUGUGAGGUUAAGCGACUAAGCGUACACGGUGGAUGCCCUGGCAGUCAGAGGCGAUGAAGGGCGUGCUAAUCUGCGAUAAGCGCCGGUAAGGUGAUAUGAACCGUUAUAACCGGCGAUACCCGAAUGGGGAAACCCAGUGUGAUUCGUCACACUAUCAUUAACUGAAUCCAUAGGUUAAUGAGGCGAACCGGGGGAACUGAAACAUCUAAGUACCCCGAGGAAAAGAAAUCAACCGAGAUUCCCCCAGUAGCGGCGAGCGAACGGGGAGGAGCCCAGAGCCUGAAUCAGCAUGUGUGUUAGUGGAAGCGUCUGGAAAGGCGCGCGAUACAGGGUGACAGCCCCGUACACAAAAGCGCAUGUGCUGUGAGCUCGAUGAGUAGGGCGGGACACGUGGUAUCCUGUCUGAAUAUGGGGGGACCAUCCUCCAAGGCUAAAUACUCCUGACUGACCGAUAGUGAACCAGUACCGUGAGGGAAAGGCGAAAAGAACCCCGGCGAGGGGAGUGAAAAAGAACCUGAAACCGUGUACGUACAAGCAGUGGGAGCACAGGUUUACCUGUGUGACUGCGUACCUUUUGUAUAAUGGGUCAGCGACUUAUAUUCUGUAGCAAGGUUAACCGUAUAGGGGAGCCGUAGGGAAACCGAGUCUUAACCGGGCGUUAAGUUGCAGGGUAUAGACCCGAAACCCGGUGAUCUAGCCAUGGGCAGGUUGAAGGUUGGGUAACACUAACUGGAGGACCGAACCGACUAAUGUUGAAAAAUUAGCGGAUGACCUGUGGCUGGGGGUGAAAGGCCAAUCAAACCGGGAGAUAGCUGGUUCUCCCCGAAAGCUAUUUAGGUAGCGCCUCGUGAAUUCAUCUCCGGGGGUAGAGCACUGUUUCGGCUAGGGGGCCAUCCCGGCUUACCAACCCGAUGCAAACUGCGAAUACCGGAGAAUGUUAUCACGGGAGACACACGGCGGGUGCUAACGUCCGUCGUGAAGAGGGAAACAACCCAGACCGCCAGCUAAGGUCCCAAAGUCAUGGUUAAGUGGGAAACGAUGUGGGAAGGCCCAGACAGCCAGGAUGUUGGCUUAGAAGCAGCCAUCAUUUAAAGAAAGCGUAAUAGCUCACUGGUCGAGUCGGCCUGCGCGGAAGAUGUAACGGGGCUAAACCAUGCACCGAAGCUGCGGCAGCGACGUUUAUGUGUUGUUGGGUAGGGGAGCGUUCUGUAAGCCUGUGAAGGUGUGUCGUGAGGCAUGCUGGAGGUAUCAGAAGUGCGAAUGCUGACAUAAGUAACGAUAAAGCGGGUGAAAAGCCCGCUCGCCGGAAGACCAAGGGUUCCUGUCCAACGUUAAUCGGGGCAGGGUGAGUCGACCCCUAAGGCGAGGCCGAAAGGCGUAGUCGAUGGGAAACGGGUUAAUAUUCCCGUACUUGGUGUUACUGCGAAGGGGGGACGGAGAAGGCUAUGUUGGCCGGGCGACGGUUGUCCCGGUUUAAGCGUGUAGGCUGGUUUUCCAGGCAAAUCCGGAAAAUCAAGGCUGAGGCGUGACGACGAGGCACUACGGUGCUGAAGCAACAAAUGCCCUGCUUCCAGGAAAAGCCUCUAAGCAUCAGGUAACAUCAAAUCGUACCCCAAACCGACACAGGUGGUCAGGUAGAGAAUACCAAGGCGCUUGAGAGAACUCGGGUGAAGGAACUAGGCAAAAUGGUGCCGUAACUUCGGGAGAAGGCACGCUGACACGUAGGUGAAGUGAUUUACUCAUGGAGCUGAAGUCAGUCGAAGAUACCAGCUGGCUGCAACUGUUUAUUAAAAACACAGCACUGUGCAAACACGAAAGUGGACGUAUACGGUGUGACGCCUGCCCGGUGCCGGAAGGUUAAUUGAUGGGGUCAGCGCAAGCGAAGCUCCUGAUCGAAGCCCCGGUAAACGGCGGCCGUAACUAUAACGGUCCUAAGGUAGCGAAAUUCCUUGUCGGGUAAGUUCCGACCUGCACGAAUGGCGUAAUGAUGGCCAGGCUGUCUCCACCCGAGACUCAGUGAAAUUGAACUCGCUGUGAAGAUGCAGUGUACCCGCGGCAAGACGGAAAGACCCCGUGAACCUUUACUAUAGCUUGACACUGAACAUUGAGCCUUGAUGUGUAGGAUAGGUGGGAGGCUUUGAAGUGUGGACGCCAGUCUGCAUGGAGCCGACCUUGAAAUACCACCCUUUAAUGUUUGAUGUUCUAACGUGGACCCGUAAUCCGGGUUGCGGACAGUGUCUGGUGGGUAGUUUGACUGGGGCGGUCUCCUCCUAAAGAGUAACGGAGGAGCACGAAGGUUGGCUAAUCCUGGUCGGACAUCAGGAGGUUAGUGCAAUGGCAUAAGCCAGCUUGACUGCGAGCGUGACGGCGCGAGCAGGUGCGAAAGCAGGUCAUAGUGAUCCGGUGGUUCUGAAUGGAAGGGCCAUCGCUCAACGGAUAAAAGGUACUCCGGGGAUAACAGGCUGAUACCGCCCAAGAGUUCAUAUCGACGGCGGUGUUUGGCACCUCGAUGUCGGCUCAUCACAUCCUGGGGCUGAAGUAGGUCCCAAGGGUAUGGCUGUUCGCCAUUUAAAGUGGUACGCGAGCUGGGUUUAGAACGUCGUGAGACAGUUCGGUCCCUAUCUGCCGUGGGCGCUGGAGAACUGAGGGGGGCUGCUCCUAGUACGAGAGGACCGGAGUGGACGCAUCACUGGUGUUCGGGUUGUCAUGCCAAUGGCACUGCCCGGUAGCUAAAUGCGGAAGAGAUAAGUGCUGAAAGCAUCUAAGCACGAAACUUGCCCCGAGAUGAGUUCUCCCUGAGACUUAGAGUCUCCUGAAGGAACGUUGAAGACGAC
rnacentral:rRNA from 1 species